GAAGCAUGUGAGCCAUGUGCCAAGAAAAGCCGCUAUAGAUCAUAUCGUACCCGUACCGUAAACCGACACAGGUAGAUGAGGAGAGAAUCCUAAGGCCGACGGGAGAAGCAUUGUCAAGGAACUCGGCAAAAUGACCCCGUAACUUCGGGAGAAGGGGUGCCCACGCGAGUGGGCCGCAGAGAAUAGGCUCAAGCAACUGUUUAGCAAAAACACAGGUCUAUGCGAAACCGAAAGGUGAGGUAUAUGGGCUGACGCCUGCCCGGUGCUGGAAGGUCAGAGGAGGAGUCAGGCAACGAAGCUCCGAAUUUAAGCCCCAGUAAACGGCGGCCGUAACUAUAACGGUCCUAAGGUAGCGAAAUUCCUUGUCGGGUAAGUUCCGACCCGCACGAAAGGCGUAAUGAUUUGAGCACUGUCUCGACAAUGCACCCGGUGAAAUUGAAGUACCAGUGAAGAUGCUGGUUACCUGCGCCAGGACGGAAAGACCCCAUGGAGCUUUACUCCAGUUUGAUACUGGGAUUCGAUACUGAAUGUACAGGAUAGGUGGGAGGCUGAGAAGCGUGGACGCCAGUCUGCGGUGAGCCGCUGUUGGGAUACCACCCUUUGAGUAUUGGAUUUCUAACCUGCGCCCGUGACCCGGGCGGGGGACAAUGUCUGACGGGGAGUUUGACUGGGGCGGUCGCCUCCGAAAGGGUAUCGGAGGCGCUCAAAGGUUCCCUCAGAAUGGUUGGAAACCAUUCGCAGAGUGCAAAGGCAGAAGGGAGCUUGACUGUGACACCGACGGGUGGAGCAGGUACGAAAGUAGGACUUAGUGAUCCGGUGGUAUGAAAGUGGGAUUGCCAUCGCUCAACGGAUAAAAGCUACCCUGGGAUAACAGGCUUAUCACUCCCAAGAGUUCACAUCGACGGAGUGGUUUGGCACCUCGAUGUCGGCUCAUCGCAUCCUGGGGCUGUAGCAGGUCCCAAGGGUUGGGCUGUUCGCCCAUUAAAGCGGUACGCGAGCUGGGUUCAGAACGUCGUGAGACAGUUCGGUCCCUAUCCGGCGCAGGCGUAGGAUAUUUGAGAGGAGCUGUCCUUAGUACGAGAGGACCGGGAUGGACAGACCGCUGGUGUAUCUGUUGGUGACCAACACCAUGGCAGAGUAGCCAAGUCUGGCAGGGAUAAACGCUGAAGGCAUCUAAGCGUGAAGCCCCCCUCAAGAUGAGAUAUCCCAAUAAGUAAGACCCCUUAGAGAGUAUGAGGUAGAUAGGCUUAAGGUGUAAGCAUAGUAAUAUGUUCAGCUGAUAAGUACUAAUAGGUCGAGGGCUUAUUCA
rnacentral:rRNA from 1 species